AUUGAACGCCGGCGGCAGGCCUAACACAUGCAAGUCGAGCGGAUGAAGGGAGCUUGCUCCUGGAUUCAGCGGCGGACGGGUGAGUAAUGCCUAGGAAUCUGCCUGGUAGUGGGGGAUAACGUCCGGAAACGGGCGCUAAUACCGCAUACGUCCUGAGGGAGAAAGUGGGGGAUCUUCGGACCUCACGCUAUCAGAUGAGCCUAGGUCGGAUUAGCUAGUUGGUGGGGUAAAGGCCUACCAAGGCGACGAUCCGUAACUGGUCUGAGAGGAUGAUCAGUCACACUGGAACUGAGACACGGUCCAGACUCCUACGGGAGGCAGCAGUGGGGAAUAUUGGACAAUGGGCGAAAGCCUGAUCCAGCCAUGCCGCGUGUGUGAAGAAGGUCUUCGGAUUGUAAAGCACUUUAAGUUGGGAGGAAGGGCAGUAAGUUAAUACCUUGCUGUUUGGACGUUACCAACAGAAGAAGCACCGGCUAACUUCGU
rnacentral:rRNA from 1 species